AUUUCUAGCUUGCUAGAAGAUGACGAGUGGCGGACGGGUGAGCAAUGCUUGGGAACUUGCCUUUGCGGGGGGGAUAACAGUUGGAAACGACUGCUAAUACCGCAUAAUGUCUACGGACCAAACGGGGCUUAGGCUCCGGCGCAAAGAGAGGCCCAAGUGAGAUUAGCUAGUUGGUAAGGUAACGGCUUACCAAGGCGACGAUCUCUAGCUGUUCUGAGAGGAAGAUCAGCCACACUGGGACUGAGACACGGCCCAGACUCCUACGGGAGGCAGCAGUGGGGAAUAUUGCACAAUGGGGGAAACCCUGAUGCAGCCAUGCCGCGUGUGUGAAGAAGGCCUUCGGGUUGUAAAGCACUUUCAGUUGUGAGGAAAAGUUAGUAGUUAAUACCUGCUAGCCGUGACGUUAACAACAGAAGAAGCACCGGCUAACUCCGUGCCAGCAGCCGCGGUAAUACGGAGGGUGCGAGCGUUAAUCGGAAUUACUGGGCGUAAAGCGCACGCAGGCGGUUUGUUAAGCUAGAUGUGAAAGCCCCGGGCUCAACCUGGGAUGGUCAUUUAGAACUGGCAGACUAGAGUCUUGGAGAGGGGAGUGGAAUUCCAUGUGUAGCGG
rnacentral:rRNA from 1 species